rnacentral:rRNA from 1 species
CCUACGGGUGGCUGCAGUCGAGAAUCAUUCACAAUGGGGGAAACCCUGAUGGUGCGACGCCGCGUGGGGGAAUGAAGGUCUUCGGUUUGUAAACCCCCGUCAUGUGGGAGCAAAUUAAAAAGAUAGUACCACAAGAGGAAGAGACUGCUAACUUUGUGCCAGCAGCCGCGGUACUACGGAGGUGUCAAGCGUUGUUCGGAAUCACGGGGCGUAACGCGUGCGUAGGCUGUUUCGUAAGUCGUGUGUGAAAGGCGCGGGCUCAACCCGCGGACGGCAGAUGAUACUGCGAGACUAGAGUAGUGGAGGGGGAAGCGGAAUUCCCGGUGUAGCAGUGAAAUGCGUAGAUAUCGAGAGGAACACUCGUGGCGAAGGCGGGUUACUGGACAGUAACUGACGCUGAGGCACGAAGGCGAGGGGAGCGAAAGGGAUUAGAUACCCUUGUAGUC